rnacentral:misc_RNA from 1 species
CCGAGUUCACAACUCCCAAACCCAAUGUGAACGUUACCAAACUGUUGCCUCGGCGGGGUCACGCCCCGGGUGCGUAAAAGCCCCGGAACCAGGCGCCCGCCGGAGGAACCAACCAAACUCUUCUGUAGUCCCCUCGCGGACGUAUUUCUUACAGCUCUGAGCAAAAAUUCAAAAUGAAUCA